GCUAGAUGAUCACUUCGAUUGAUAUAAAAAUUUAUUCUUGUGCUACCAACUUAGGUUCAGAUCUAUGAGGUCACACACAUUAGAGUUCAUAAUCCGAUCAGAUGGUUGAUCAACGAUUAAGAAUCAUUCUAGGGUUAAAUGAUCAAUAUGAUUGAUAUUUAACCUAGUGCAAGUGUUGCAGGAGGAUCGAUUAGCAAUUUG
rnacentral:lncRNA from 1 species